CCAAUAGCGUAUAUUAAAGUUGUUGCAGUUAAAAAGCUCGUAGUUGAAUUUCGGGGUCAGUAGGCUGGUCGUGCCACAGGUAUGCACUGGUUUCACUGAUUCCUCCUUCCUGAUGAACCGUAAUGCCAUUAAGUUGGUGUUGCGGGGAAUCUGGACUGUUACUUUGAAAAAAUUAGAGUGUUUAAAGCAGGCUAACGCUUGAAUACAUUAGCAUGGAAUAAUGAAAUAGGACGAUCGAUCCUAUUUUGUUGGUUUCUAGGAUUGACGUAAUGAUUAAUAGGGUUAGUUGGGGGCAUUAGUAUUCAAUUGUCAGAGGUGAAAUUCUUGGAUUUAUUGAAGACUAACUACUGCGAAAGCAUUUGCCAAGGAUGUUUUCAUUCAUCAAGAACGAAAGUUAGGGGAUCGAAGACGAUCAGAUACCGUCGUAGUCUUAACCAUAAACUAUGACGACUAGGGAUCGGAUGAUGUUAAUUUUUUAAUGACUCAUUCGGCGCCUUACG
rnacentral:rRNA from 1 species